ACUCGGCUUGAGCUGCUCUCAUCUCAUUUGGGUUUGAGUUUCCUCCUCUCACGCCUCCAGCAGCUUUCACCAGGUGAUAAAGUCAGAUUAACUCACCUUUUUUGAAUAAAAGCUUCCUAAAAAGGAGUAGGAUUUCAGAGCCUUACAGCAUCUCUGACACCUGCAGCUCUCCUUCAUCUGAACAGUCUGAGGAACCAAAUUUGAAGACAGCGAGAACGAGGAACGAUGUCUCCUUCACUUCUUCACUCCUCAAAGUCCACUGUGUUUAUGGGGUUGAUGGUCCUGGGGUGCUCUUCUCAGUCAGUUAUCAGAAGACUGUAAAAAACACUAAGGACAGCAGUGGUAAAACCUUUCAGACACACCUUCAGAAGCAAACUAUGAAAUAAAAGACUUUUUUUAGGGUAAAA
rnacentral:lncRNA from 1 species